rnacentral:rRNA from 1 species
UACGUAGGGGGCAAGCGUUGUCCGGAAUCAUUGGGCGUAAAGCGCGUGUAGGCGGCCCGAUAAGUCCGCUGUAAAAGUCCAGGGCUCAACACUGGGAUGCCGGUGGAUACUGUCGGGCUCGAGUCCGGAAGAGGCGAGUGGAAUUCCUGGUGUAGCGGUGAAAUGCGCAGAUAUCAGGAGGAACACCAAUGGCGAAGGCAGCUCGCUGGGACGUGACUGACGCUGAGACGCGAAAGCGUGGGGAGCAAACAGG